rnacentral:sRNA from 1 species
ACUCUCUCUCUCUCUCUCUCUCUCUCUCUCUCUCUCUCUCUCUCUCAGAAAUUUCUGAGCAAAAAAACAAACAAUAUUUGUCAAAACACCAAGUGAGUACACUGUAGCACGCUCGAGCUCUCGUUCAGAAGAACACAUUUUACCACAUGAAUAAUAAUUAUUAAAGGAAAACUGAAAAUACAAAUGACUAAAUCAGACUAAAUUAAAAAGGUGAAAAAAUCAAAACAAAAAAUGUGUUUUAUCUACGGUCCAUACCUAAGCAAUAUUUCUAAAACAAAAAUAUUCAUUGAAAUUCCUAUCUAGCUGAUUGAUUGAUUUCAACGCAGCCAAAGGUUGACGUUUGCUAAUCCCAUGUGACCUAACAUGGCGGUUUUAACAAGUGAUUACUUGUGAUGAGAGAAUUAGUUCCCAGUGAUCUAAAUAUUAUCAUACCAUAAAGCGGAAUUGGGAAAUCAAAUAUAAUGAAUUAACUUUCGCAGUUUACAUAAAAUUAACCAAAAUUGGGGAUGAGAUAAUCCCUGAGGUAUUAACAUCAAUUAUAUAAUCCCAAACGCAUUCAAAUUCACUACAUUUUCACCCAAUUAAGGCAGGGAUAUUUGAUAUCAUGUUUAUAUCUCUAUACAAUCUAAACGAUGAUGGAUUAAUUCAGGACCAAUCUCUCUAUAUGCCUCAUUAAUAAUUGAUCGCUCCCAUGAAAUAAUCACAAAUCCGAAUUUGCGAGGACGCAAUUCUUUUUCCAGCGGAAGAGAUGAUACACAUAGGCUUUUCUCCAAGGUCGGUAAGACUAACGUUCAAUGUAUUCCUUUUUCUCAUUAUGAAUGCAAAGUGUGUGCAUGGCAUGGACCAUUACGUCAUAACCAAAGACCUCUACGACAAACUGUUUAACGGGAGCUAUAGUGUUGAUGUCCUGCCGGUCUGCGGAAUCGACGAUACCAUGAAUAUAACGGUUGACGCGGCCUUACGCGAGGUGAUAGACGUCCAGGAAAAGUUCCAAACCCUCAAGCUGAAACUCUGGGUACGUCUAAAUUGGACAGACUGCAGGCUGGUAUGGAACCCGUCGGAUUUCAAUAACCAGGACCAAAUUUACGUUCCGUAUCAUAAAAUUUGGACACCGGACAUCACUUUGUAUGAGGGGAUCAGCGAGUUCGGAAGUUUGCCAGGGAUGAAGGACUACAGGGCAUCAAUCUUCUCCGACGGAACAGUGCAAUACAAUUUCCCUUCCACUGUUACAACAGCUUGUGCCAUUGACGUCACGUACUUUCCUUUUGAUCUGCAAAACUGUAAACUGGCUUUUGGUUCCUGGAUCUACUCGGGUAAACACUUGGAAGUAUUUGCAUCUUCCUCCUCAGCAGACGUAUCUACCUACAUCAAGAACAAUGAGUGGCAUCUCAUUUCUAUGACGUCAGAGAAAAUCGUUCAUUUCUACAAUUGCUGCCAGUACCCCUUCUCCGAAAUAGCCUUCAACCUCUCCAUCCAAAGAGAACCCAAGUUUUACAUAAUCACCAUUAUCUUCCCCUGCAUUCUGGUUACUAGACCAGCUUCCUCCAUCUUCCGAGACGUUCCCUGUCAUCGCUUACUUCUUCACCUCGUCCAUGCUCCUGGUAUGUUUGGCCUGCAUCAUGGCGGGAAUCGUUCUCUUCGUCUACUACCUGAGACAGUCGGGUAGGGAAGUCCCGCACAUCUGUCAAACCAUCUUUCUGCGUCAUCUGUCCAAGGUCUUUUGCAUCAGAUAUGAAGAGUGCAUCGCCAAAGACAUCAGCGUUGCUGCCGUGUACGGUGAACUCAAGGAAAGAAGAAUGUCCAGUGUGCUUCUGAAGGAUGCCAUGAGGAAUAGAGACUCGUUCAUCGCUCGCAAAUCUCAGAAGAUCAAGCAUGAAGACAUACCAGAGGAGGGCAGUAAUGCGUCACUUCCUCUGACUAGUAGGAACAACAGUGACAGCAAUCCCAUUACCACUGGACAAUUACCAAAGAGGGACUCCUACUCCAGUGUUUUUGCUGAUGAUAAUGUGCUUAAAGACAAACGGAGGACAACACCAAAUAAUCUGGAAACCGUUAUUCAUGAAUGGGUGCACUUAGCACAUGUUGUGGACCGACUGUUUCUGAUUUGUUAUUUCAUGAUCUACCUUACAAAUGGAAUUAUUUUUAUAUUUUUGUUCAGCAAAAAAUCGUGACUCUCUCUCUCUCUCUCUCUCUUUCUCUCUCUCUCUUUCUCUCUUUUUUAAAUACGUACUGUCCUAUAUACAUGUUUAUAUAUAUUAUGUUUGUUUCCACGAUAGAUCAGAUCAACAAUUUGUAAGCAUUAAUUUGAACUUUUAGUUUGCUUGUCAAGAUUCAAUAUAGGUGUAGUUACAGCCAUGAAUAGUUAAUAACCCUUGGUCCACUCACCGACAGUCCUUAUCAAUCUGUAGCAGCAUGUCAUUGUCUUUGAAGAAGGCCCCCCAGUUACUGUCUGGGUUGGGAUUCAAUGGCUGAAUGAAGAAAAGAAAAAGAGAACACAAUAAUCACACUGCCCGGUCACAAGUCAACAGAGCAUACUGCGAAAUCAUAAAUAUUUCAUGAGGAUGAAAUUCCAUCAUCUUUAUGAUGUGUGUCGAUUUGUUGUCUGGAAUUGAAUUCCCCAAAGAAUUUUGGGCCAUGGAUGGCAUUAUAAACAGUUUAAUGAUUUAGUCAUGUAUUUCCUAUUAAUAGGUGAAUCAUACAUGUAGCUGACAUCUGAACAACCCCGAAAUUAUGGCCUAGAAAAAUCAAUAUUUUUUACAACCUCAAUUGAAUUUCAAAAAUGAGGACAGUAAAACACACUUAAGACAAAGUGCCAGAGACAGGCGAUUCUGUGUCAUUACAAUCCUAAUUUGUUUUAUCUGUUAGCUUCACAAUAUGCUCAUUUCACUGUAAGCAUCAAUUCAUUAUAAUGAGCUUGUUCGCUAUAAGCAUGUUUGACUGUACAGUGGCAUAAAAUGCUUGAUCUUGGCUAUUGUCUAAGAUUUACAAUCUCAAUGCAUUUCUUUA